UACAGAGGUCCCGAGCGUUAGGCGGAAUCACUGGGCUUAAAGCGUGUGUAGGCGGACUUCUAAGUACCUUGUGAAAUCCCACGGCUUAACCGUGGAACUGCUUGGUAUACUGGUUGUCUUGGGCCAUCUAGGGGCUACCGGAACAAACGGUGGAGCGGUGAAAUGCGUAGAUAUCGUUUGGAACGCCAAUGGUGAAAACAGGUAGCUGGGGAUGUGCCGACGCUGAGACACGAAAGCCAGGGGAGCAAACGGG
rnacentral:rRNA from 1 species